rnacentral:rRNA from 1 species
UCAGCCGCCGCGGUAACACCGGCAGCYCAAGUGGUGGCCAUUUUUAUUGGGCCUAAAGCGUUCGUAGCCGGCYUGAUAAGUCUCUGGUGAAAUCCCRCAGCUUAACUGUGGGAAUUGCUGGAGAUACUAUYAGGCUUGAGGYCGGGAGAGGYURGAGGUACUCCCAGGGUAGGGGUGAAAUCCUAUAAUCCUGGGAGGACCACCUGUGGCGAAGGCGUCYARCUGGAACGRACCUGACGGUGAGUAACGAAAGCCAGGGGCGCGAACCGGAUUAGAUACCCGGGUAGUCCUGGCCGUAAACGAUGUGGACUUGGUGUUGGGAUGGCYYCGAGCUGCCCCAGUGCCGAAGGGAAGCUGUUAAGUCCACCGCC